GACCUGAGCCGAAGUCAGAUGCUCAACCUGACUGAGCCACCCAGACGCCCCAGAAUGUGGCCUUAUUUGGAAAUAGGGUCUUUACAGCAGUAACUGAGUUUAAACAAGGUCAUUUGGGUGGGCCCUCAUCCAAUGUGACUGAUACCCUUAUCAAAGGGGGAAUUUGGACAGGACGGACACACGCAGAGGAAAGACGGAGGAGACACAGGGAGAGCGCCAUGUGAAGGCUGGAGCCUCGCUGCCGUGAGCCGGGGAACUCUAGGGCAGUCAGAGGCUGGCAGAGGCAAGGCGUGGUCCUUCCCCUGCAGGUGACAGACGGAGCACCGUCUUCUGGCCUCCACAACUGCGAGACGAUACGUUUCUGUUGUUCUAAGCAACCCCGUUUGUGGUGCUUUGCCACAGCAGCCCCAGGAAGCUAAUACACAGGCUGUGCCAGAACAUCCAGAAUGCCCUCUGUUUUUUCUGGGGAUACAAACACCCCACCCCGCCCACAAACCCUGUGAAGAGACCCAGGCUCACAGAGGCGCCAUCGGUGGCCGCAUCACCCAUCAAGCGGGUGCAGUGCCAGGACUCGAACCCAGGUCUGCCUGACUCCAAAGUCCGUGUUGCUCUGCCUGGCAGCAGAGGCCGAGGCUGGAGGCCAGGCGGCCGGGGGAGCCCGGAGCAGCCCAGGAACCGGGGCGCCGCUCUUCAGCUUUGCUCUGCGGCCUCUCCCCGUCCUCCUCCGCACCCCUGCCUGCCUCCGUGGCCGUUGGGUCUCACGGCCUGGGCCACAGGGCACUUGGAGGGGGAGAUGGCGGUUAGUGGCUCACUGGUGUCAGAGCCAGAGCUCCCAGGUUCCAGUCCUGACUCCUGCUGCCCAGUUGUGUGACUUGAGCAAGUCACUGCCCCCUUUCUGAGCCUUGUCUUUGUGAAAAGGGACCAGGAAGGGAUCUCUGCCUCGCGUGCAGGGAGGUUGUGAGGUCAGGUACAGGAACGAGUUCACAGGAUGCUGUAACUGGGGCCGCUGCCCGGGCGGGAUAUAAAGUCGUGCCUGAGGCCACGAGGAUGCUGUGUCCCACACUAGCUGAUUGGUCUGGUCUCACCCAGGGUGGGAAGGCAGGUGGGUCAGAUUUAGAAGAUUCUGAAAGCUCUGAGAUGGAUCGGGAUACUUCGUGGUCAUAAUGUAUCAAGUGCUUUGUGCCUCAUUUUUGUUUUCAUGCAGUUUUCACAAGAGCUCUGCAGAGGAGGUGAUGUUGGUCCCAUUUUAUAGAUGCGGAAACUGAGGCUCAGAGAGAUGAAGUUUGCCUCAGGUCACACAGGCGGGAAGGGCCAGGACCAGGGUAUGAGGCCGGGCCUGACUCAACACACCCGUGCUCUUUCUGCUUCACAGAAGCUCCUUCAUGCCAAUACCAGCCUGAUGGUUGGCGGACACUGGGCUGGGGCCCGGAGAAGGGAAGGAACUUGUCAGAGGCCACACUGAAGGGCCGGGGCCAGACUCAGGUCCAGGCUUUUCUUCUUCUUCAGACAGCAGGGCCGAAGGGCAGCUGCCCAUGCACUUAGCAAACCUCGAUCGGUCUAGAGCCUUCGGCCGCCCGUCCUGGUGUGGAGGAGGCAAUGUGGGGCCAUCGGGCAGAGGCAUCGAGGCUGGCCUGAGACAUAGACCAGAAGAGGGCCAGAAGAGAAAGAGAGAGAGAGGGAGCGAUGAACAGAGGGAGGGAGAGCGAGAAUCCCAAGCAGGCUCUGCACUGUCAGCACAGCGGGGCUGGGAGCCCAUGAACGCAGAGAUCAUGACCUGAGCCGAAAUCAAGAGUCAGAUGGUUAACGGACAGAGCCACCCAAGUGCCCCAGGAUUAUCUUUCUUAUUAUCCAAGUGGAGAUUUCUAGGGCUGGUCAGGUACGCGCGUCUGGGCGGGAACUUGGCUCUGGUAGUGAAGCCACGGGUUGUGGGUGGGCACCCUAAGACGGGGUGGCGGGUACAGGUGCCACCCAUCAUCUCCACUCCCUCUUUCCUCAUUCCCUGAAGGCCCCAUGUUGUUCAGAGACCCGCCCUCCACACAGCCCGUGCUCUUCAGGGCAGCUGACCUGACUCCAGCUCCAGAGCGGGAUCUGGUGAGACUCCGCCAGUCGGGUCAUGGCCCUCCCCCAGGUUCCGGUGCUCAGCGAGGCUGAAAAGCUGACCUGGUUCCGUGGUCGGGGGAGCGACCCCUCUCUGUCUUCAGGACACACCCCAAGAAGCACGUGGCCCCACUGCCACCCCUUAGGGAACCAGACCUAGCAAGAAGCCGGUCUGUGCUGGUAUCCCGCCUUUCCAACUGAAAAAAAAAAAGGGAGAAAGGUGCCGAUUUGUAGCGUUUGCUGAUUUCCACGGUGUAUAUAUCCCCUUCAGGGCCAAUUGCAAGCUGCCAACAGGAUGUCCCUGAACGCAGGGCCGUAGAGCACCUGCAAGCCCGCAGAAGCCAGCUCCAGCACGGCUGGAUGAAGCCGACCCCGAGGCAGGCAGAACUGAGAGAGAAAAGCAGUGGUGCCCCAAGGGCUCUGGGAGCUGCUGGUGACUGUGCCCUGCCCAGGACCCUCCCUCCCCCCCUACCCUGAGCUUCCUCUUUCCCAGAGUGUUCAGUCACCUGCAGCCAAAUGCAUCCCGUGUGCUGCAGGGUGCGGAGCGAGAAGGGACCCGGGGACCAGCCUUGACCCGUGAACGUUAAUGCAGCAGAGGAAGAGGAGGCUGUGAACCCAGCUGCCACUGUAGUUUGGCAAUGCCAAAGGUCACGUUUGCAUUCAGGUUUCCUCACACUUAAACCUGCUGCAGUAAAAGAUAAGAGAAUUUCCUAGCUCAGCUGU